rnacentral:tRNA from 1 species
CUGGGUGUGGCGCAGUUUGGUAGCGCGCUACCUUGGGUGGUAGAGGCCGCUGGUUCAAGUCCAGUCACUCAGACCA